UCCGGCAAGUGCAAGAACCGGUGCUCGCAGAAGGUGGCCGGGCGGUGCAUGGGGCUGUGCAUGAUGUGCUGCGGCAAGUGCGCCGGCUGCGUGCCGUUGGGGCCGCUGGCCCCCAAGGACGAGUGCCCCUGCUACCGCGACAUGAAAUCCCCCAAGAGCGGCCGCCCCAAAUGCCCCUAG
rnacentral:rRNA from 1 species